UACCAGCACCCCGAGUGGUUGGGACGUUUAUUGGGCCCAAAGCAUCCGUAGCCGGUUCUACAAGUCUUCCGUUAAAUCCACCUGCUCAACAGAUGGGCUGCGGAAGAUACUAUGGAGCUAGGAGGCGGGAGAGGCAAGCGGUACUCGAUGGGUAGGGGUAAAAUCCGUUGAUCCAUUGAAGACCACCAGUGGCGAAGGCGGCUUGCCAGAACGCGCUCGACGGUGAGGGAUGAAAGCUGGGGGAGCAAACCGG
rnacentral:rRNA from 1 species